ACCUGUGCAGACAGCUCAUAGGGCAACCGGCGAUUGCCACCAACCUUGAGGACUUGGGUUCGAUUCCCUGGGAACCACGUGGUAGGAGAGAACUGACCUCCAUGCUUAAGUUUGUCCACACAAAAUAAAUUUUAAGAUGUAACGACAACAACCAAAUGGCUUUAUUUGAGAAGAUGAACAAGAGGGUGUGUGUGGGGGGGGUUAGGUUUAAUUUAGUUUUUCUUCUUUGUAGGAGCUGGGAGUGCGGACAUACAUGUCAACUACCUGGAAAUUAUCAAUGACUGCACGUGCCCAGCUCUUCUGGACCCUCUGAUGUUCUGUCACAUGGGAGCAAAUGGAGAGCUGGGACAUCCUUUGACCUCAGCCCUCAAAGGUUAGGAAGCGGGCCCCUCCUCCCUCCAAGAAUUCCUUUUCUCCAAGGGUGAUUAACUACCUCAGCCAUCCUUCCAGGAGGGCCAAAAAAGCUGUUUUGAAUCUGUACCGGCUCAGAAUAAUCAGUUCCUGGUAUUUCCGGCUUUGUGUGAAGCAGGAUUUCCUGUUUCAAGGCGGGCUGGCUCCCCUGUCCUGAUAUUAGGGAGUCUAUGUAAUAGAUUACUAAUCCAUACUGUUUUUGUUUUUCUAUUCAGGAUAAUUAACUUCUUGCUCAAUCCCUCAGCAUUUGACCAAAAUACCAAGAUAAAAAUGUAGGCCCGUGUUAGUACAAAAGGUCCUGCAUUCAACUGUCCUCCUUAUAUUGCCCAAGAAGUCUUGUGGAAUUCCAAGAAGAAUUCAAGGGGCCAGACCUGGAAUAUGCAUCAAUGAGAAUAAGACACUGACGAAGCUAACGACACUAACGGGGAAUGAGGAUAAUCGACUCCUGUCCUUUGUUUUACUCUUUAACCUAGUAAUAAAUCCCUUUAAAGGCCCGUGGU
rnacentral:lncRNA from 1 species